GCUCUAGUGGCGCAGUUGGUUAGCGCAUGGUACUUAUUAUGCCGAGGUCGCGAGGUCGAGCCUCGCCUGGAGCA
rnacentral:tRNA from 1 species